CAAUAGCGUAUAUUUAAGUUGUUGCAGUUAAAAAGCUCGUAGUCGGAUUUUGGCUGAGAACGAUCGGUCCGCCGUUAGGUGUGCACUGAUUGGUCUCAGCUUCCUGGUGAGGAGGUGUGCUUCACGGCCACUUAGUCACCGUGGUUACUUUGAAAAAAUUAGAGUGUUCAAAGCGGGCUUACGCUUGAAUAUAUUAGCAUGGAAUAACACUAUAGGACUCCUGUCCUAUUUCGUUGGUCUCGGGACGGGAGUAAUGAUUAAGAGGAACAGUUGGGGGCAUUCGUAUUUCAUUGUCAGAGGUGAAAUUCUUGGAUUUAUGAAAGACGAACUUCUGCGAAAGCAUUUGCCAAGGAUGUUUUCAUUGA
rnacentral:rRNA from 1 species